GGGUGAGCACUUCUUUAGCUUCUUAGCAUAUCCUCAUUUCAUUACAUGCUAAUUUGAAGUACUAGUUUGAAUUUAAAUGGAGAAACAUUACCGGUGAGAACUCAUAUAGCCGCCCCUACCUUGUUUGUGAUUGAGGCGUAGUUGUUGUUGUUGUACUCAUGAUCACUGACGGAUUCAACAAUGGGUUCGUUAGUGUUUCGCCUUUGACCCUAUAUAUAUGUGUGAAAAAUAAGUGUAUAUAGAGUUAAGUAUGCAUUGCAUAACUCACUCUUUUAGCUCAAAACCAGCACUUGUAAAUGUUUUAUCUGUCACUGCUCCAGAUUUUACCAUUAUGGACAAUUUGGAGAGAAAAAUACGUUAGUUGUGAAAGUGGUCAUUGGCAAUUUGAUAUCAUUAGUGUACUCCUCUAGCAUCUGUACUUUAAGAUCUCCAUUACUUAAGUUCUCUUGGUAGUCUCUUAAGGGCUAGUUUGGUACGAGGGAUAAGGGAUAAAUUUGAGAUGAGUUUAUCCCACAUUUGGUUGGUAUAAAAUCGCAGUAUAACUAAUCCCGGAUUAGUUAUCCCGGGAUUGUAGUGUUAUUUUUAUUCCCAUGGGAGGGUGACAUAACAAUCGCGUGAUAAUUAGUCCUGGGAUAACUUGUUUCCCAACCAAACAACCCCUAAGGGUCUACCUCAAAGCAGCUUUAUUUGUUUUGGAUGUAGAGGUGAAGGCAACUUGUUUCCUUGAAGAUCUUCCAAUGAUAGUUGGAUUUGUUCAUUUAUCUUCUAGAAGGCACUGGGGACUGUCAUCAGAGUAAUGUUUUAGUCUAAAUAAUGUAAUAUUGGAUUAUCAUUACUAACUUUGCUUUACUUUCGUUGUAUGGUAAUGUUUUAGCAUAAAAAUCAUAGAGUUUUAUCUGCAUUGACAGUGUAUAGAUUUUUCACAUCAUGAGGCGAAAAUAGGUAACUCUUGAUAUCAAGUUCGAUAUGGUCACCUACAAGAUAGAGGUGAUCACUUGCUAUAGCCAGUUAAAAUUACGCUGAUAGUGUAAAAAUUCCUGAGUUUUGUUAUAUUUCUCAAAUCUCAAGUAACCUUGGUAAUUUCCUGAUGAGAUUAGGACCUGGUAAGACAACAAGGGGAGUAUGAAUCAAUCCACCGCGACCUAAUGAUAGGUUUCGGGACAUGGGAAUUCGAUCCUAUGGAACUCGAAAACCCUUUCCCUAAUGGUGAAGGUUCUGUUCAUAUUUGGCAAGGUGAUGAAGAUGGUCAUGUACCUUUCAUUCUACAACGUUACGUCACGCAGAAACUACCAUGGGUUCAUUAUCAUGAAAUGAAAAGAGGAGGUCAUAUGUUUCCAUGGGCUGAAGGAAUGGGAGAUAAAAUUAUGAAGACUUUCUUACUUGGAGAGCCCUUUGUUCUAUAAAACUAAACUAUGGAGCUGGUUUAGUAUUGAACCAAACGACUCUGUCAUUGAACAUUUCAAUAUUUAUUAACAAGUAUAUACCAGUUAAGUUGUCUAUGAUAAAGUCAUGAAAACAUACUUAGAGAGCCCUUUGUUGCUCAGACUUUCCGAAAAUGUAGCAUGGUGCGUGUCGGAUCUUCCAAAAGUAGUGCAUUUUUGGAGGACCUGAUACGGAUGCGACAGCAUUUUGGGAGUCGGCGCAACAUAGGCCCUUUGUUCUAUAAAACUAUACUAUGGGGCUUGUUUAGUAUUGGAUUCAAUGACUCUUUGUUAUUGUACAAAUUUGAAUAUUUGUCAAUAUUAUCAAAUGAUUGUUUAGUUGCUUUAUUCAAGUAAUGAAUGGUUAUGUGUUAAAACUCCUAUUAUUGUUUCUGGUGCAGUAAUGAUAUAUGUUACUUUUGAUAUGAAGGUGACUCAUUUGUUAUAAAGCUAUAAUAUGGAGAAGUUACUUGUUUAGCUUCUUAGCAUAUCCUCAUUUCAUUGCAUGUAAAUCUGAAGCCAUAUUGCUCAGACUCCGAAAAUAUUGUCGGGUGCGUGCCAGAUCCUCCAAAAGUAGUGUACUUUUGGAAGAUCCAGCAUGGGUGCGGCAGCAUUUUGGAGAGUCCGCGCAACAUAGAUUUGAACUGCUACUUCCGAAUCAAGAUUUAACCAUAAUACAUAAUUUGGACAGAAAAACAGGUUAAUGGCCAUUGACAUAAGAGAGGAUAACAGUUUGAUUAGCAUAUACUUAGAGCUACUGUUUCCUGCACAUUUUCUUGCCUAAUGCAUACUAGAGUCUGCUUGCAACUUGCAAGGACUAAACCUCUGUAUUAUGUUCUGUGACAUUAGUCCAUUAACUUUGGUUAAUUUCCUUUAUGAUGUUAGGACCUGGUAAGACAACAAGGGGAGUACGAGACGAUCCACCGGGAUAUAAUGAUAGGUUUCGGGACAUGGGAAUUCGAUCCAAUGGAACUCGAAAACCCUUUCCCUAACGGCGAAGGCUCUGUUCACAUUUGGCAAGGUGAUGAAGAUGGUCAUGUACCUGUCAUUCUACAACGAUACGUCGCGCAGAAACUACCAUGGGUUCAUUAUCAUGAAAUGAAAGGUGGAGGUCACAUGUUUCCAUGGGCUGAAGGAAUGGGAGAUAAAAUCAUGAAAACAUUCUUACUUGGAGAGCCCUUUGUGCUUUAAAGAUGUAGUAUGGGACUGGUUUAUUAUUUGGAUUCAAUGACUCUUUUGUCAUUGAAACAUAUUUGAAUAUUUGUUAAUAGCUAAAUGCUAUAUUUAAGUUGUUUAAUUCAAGUAACAGAUAGUCAUGAAGGCAUUCCCCCUUUGUUCUAUUAAAGCUGUACUAAUUACUAUGGGGCUGGUUUAGUAUUGGAU
rnacentral:lncRNA from 1 species